GUCACUACUCUAAGUUCUCUCAAAGUACGAACCCUAGGUUUCUUCUCCUUUCUUGACGCAUCAGUGGUCCCCUAGACCAGUCAUUGUCGCACCUUCUCUAGAGAUAUACGAAGCCUUCCGAGCUCACUCACUGAUAUACAAAGCCCAAGUCUGACUCCCUCUUGCUCACUCUCAGUUCAGCCCCUCCCGUUGCCUCCAUUCUCGUUCACUCUCAACUCAGUCUGUCAUUCACUGCCGCUGGUUCGUGUUCACUCACAGUGUUCAUCGCUUGGGCUCUCGCUGAUGAAGAUCGUUCUUCCUACUUCUUGACACACAGAGUUUGUUCAUUGUUCAUUGAUGUGUAUGAAGGUGCAGCCAAUGAGGGUGGUAGAGGACCGAGUAUUUGGGAUACCUUCACUCACAAAUAUCCAGGUAGAAGACAGAAGCAAUGAGGAUGUUGCAGUUGACUCGUAUCACAGCUACAAGGUAUUGUCGAUUCAAAGUUUUUGUUUCUUUUGAUGUAAUUUAUCAACUAUCAUCACUAAU